CUGCAGCAGUUCAAGGUGACAAGGGCACAGCUACAGCAGAUCCAAGCCAGCCUCUUGGGUUCCAUGGAGCAGGCGCUGAGGGGACAGGCCAGCCCUGCCCCUGCGGUCCGGAUGCUGCCUACAUACGUGGGGUCCACCCCACAUGGCACUGACUUUGCAGGCCUUAGGAAUUUGGGAAGUGGGCAGAGGGCUCUGGUCUUGCCAGCUGCAUGGCUUUCUGUGACCUGCUUGCCCUCCAGAGCAAGGAGACUUCGUGGUGCUGGAGCUGGGGGCCACAGGGGCCUCACUGCGUGUUUUGUGGGUGACUCUAACUGGCAUUGAGGGGCAUAGGGUGGAGCCCAGAAGCCAGGAGUUUGUGAUCCCCCAAGAGGUGAUGCUGGGUGCUGGCCAGCAGCUCUUUGACCACAUCGUGGACUGCAUCGUGGACUUCCAGCAGAAGCAGGGCCUGAG
rnacentral:lncRNA from 1 species